UGGGAUGUGGCUCAGUGGUAGAGUGCUUGCCUAACAUGUAUGAAGCUCCGGGUUCGAUUCCUCAGUAUCAUAU
rnacentral:tRNA from 1 species